rnacentral:rRNA from 1 species
UUUCGCAAUGCCCGAAAGGGUGACGAAGCGACGCCGCGUGUGGGAAGAAGGCCUUCGGGUUGUAAACCACUGUCGGGAGUUAAGAAAUGCAAGGAUAUGAAUAGUGUCUUUGCUUGACUAAGGCUCCGGAGGAAGCCACGGCUAACUCUGUGCCAGCAGCCGCGGUAAUACAGAGGCGGCAAGCGUUGUUCGGAAUUAUUGGGCGUAAAGAGCACGUAGGCGGCUAUGUAAGUCGGUUGUGAAAGCCUUCCGCUCAACGGGAGAACAGCAUCCGAUACUACAUGGCUUGAGUGCGGGAGGGGAGAGUGGAACUUCUGGUGGAGCGGUGAAAUGCGUAGAUAUCAGAAGGAACGCCGGCGGCGAAAGCGGCUCUCUGGCCCGUAACUGACGCUGAGUGUGCGAAAGCUAGGGGAGCAAACGGGAUUAGAUACCCCGGUAGUCCUAGCCGUAAACGAUGGGCACUAAGUAGAGGGGUUUU